rnacentral:rRNA from 1 species
GCCCAAAGUAUAAUGGUAAAAAAACCCAAUCCCCGGGUGUAAGGUUUGGGCUGCCGCGCUGUGGAAGCGCGGCCGCCCCCCCGGAAUAACUUUAAGGAACCCCCUUUCCGGGGGGGGGGCUGCGGAAGGAUCAUUAAAGUAUUCUUCGGUGCAGCCAGCGCUUCCACAGCGCGGCAGCCCAAACCUUACACACUGUGAUUAGUUUUUUUACUAUUUACUUUGGCUGCGCAAGUGGCCAAAGGUCUUAAACACAAAGAUUUAUAUCUUUUUUUACAAAAUUUAGUCAAUGAAGUUUUAAUACUAUAAUCUUCAAAACUUUCAACAACGGAUCUCUUGGUUCUCGCAACGAUGAAGAACGCAGCGAAAUGCGAUACGUAAUGUGAAUUGCAGGUUUUCGUGAAUCAUCGAAUCUUUGAACGCACAUUGCACCCUCUGGUAUUCCGGAGGGUAUGCCUGUUUGAGCGUCAUUUCUCUCUCAAACCUUAGGGUUUGGUAUUGAGUGAUACUCUCUUCUGGGUUAACUUGAAAUAGUGUACUGGCAAGAGUGUGCUUUUGUGGCCUCUUGACUGAGAUAAUGUAUUAGGUUCUACCAACUCGUUAUAGCAGCUCAAUUGUCCCUUUGGCAUAUCAGCUCGGCCUGACAACUCCUUCUAAAGUUUGACCUCAAAUCAGGUAGGACUACCCGCUGAACUUAA